UGUAAAAAUAUUCUUAAAUAUAAAUUGAGCAAAAUUUGUAUAGUCUUGGAAACGAUUAAAAUCUGCUGAAAAUAACAGAUUUCCCUAGAAACGACAAAAUAAAAACAACCACCCAUCCAACAGACACAAAAUUUCUCCUGCUCGUUAAUCCCAGUGUUGUCAGUUACUGUAACCAUAAUUCAACCAAUUACCGUCUAACUCAAUCUCGAGCCCCGCCGCCGGCGAGCUAAAGCGACCAUCAUCAGCUGUCUGGUGGCGAUUCAGUUCUCGACCGCCGAACCGUCGACAGCAGCUGGCGCGUUCUCGAAAGGCGUUUUCCACUCCUGUAAAAUGGUGACGAUUCAAGUGGCAUCAUCGGUUGCACUGCCAAAGAAGCCAGCCGCCCCCAACAACAAUGUGACGCAAAUAUCAUCCCGUUCGGAUGGUAAACGCCCCAGCUGCGGAAUUUGGCAAGGUUUGCGGGCAAGCUUCGAGCGGUACCAGACAUUCACCAGUUUGGCUUGGCCCUACCGAUAAGGAUUCGGCCGUUGCUGCGUGUGGUUCGUUCAGCUUGCGCGGAGAGUGAUUUGCCAUAUUUUAUCAGUCAAAUCGAUGCGAUGCAAUGGUGAAAACAAUGAAGAAGAGCAAUAAAUUUCGAUUCCGAUAAAGAAA